rnacentral:rRNA from 1 species
CAGCACCUCAAGUGGUCAGGAUGAUUAUUGGGCCUAAAGCAUCCGUAGCCGGCGCUGUAAGUUUUCGGUUAAAUCUGUACGCUCAACGUACAGGCUGCCGGGAAUACUGCAACGCUAGGGAGUGGGAGAGGUAGACGGUACUCGGUAGGAAGGGGUAAAAUCCUUUGAUCUAUUGAUGACCACCUGUGGCGAAGGCGGUCUACCAGAACACGUCCGACGGUGAGGGAUGAAAGCUGGGGGAGCAAACCGGAUUAGAGACCCGAGUAGUCC